GAUGAACGCUGGCGGCGUGCCUAAUACAUGCAAGUCGAGCGAACGGACGAGAAGCUUGCUCUUCUGAUGUUAGCGGCGGACGGGUGAGUAACACGUGGAUAACCUACCUAUAAGACUGGGAUAACUUCGGGAAACCGGAGCUAAUACCGGAUAAUAUUUUGAACCGCAUGGUUCAAAAGUGAAAGACGGUCUUGCUGUCACUUAUAGAUGGAUCCGCGCUGCAUUAGCUAGUUGGUAAGGUAACGGCUUACCAAGGCAACGAUGCAUAGCCGACCUGAGAGGGUGAUCGGCCACACUGGAACUGAGACACGGUCCAGACUCCUACGGGAGGCAGCAGUAGGGAAUCUUCCGCAAUGGGCGAAAGCCUGACGGAGCAACGCCGCGUGAGUGAUGAAGGUCUUCGGAUCGUAAAACUCUGUUAUUAGGGAAGAACAAAUGUGUAAGUAACUGUGCACAUCUUGACGGUACCUAAUCAGAAAGCCACGGCUAACUACGUG
rnacentral:rRNA from 1 species